rnacentral:tRNA from 1 species
GCGCCUGUAGCUCAGAGGAUAGAGCAUCUGCCUUCUAAGCAGAGAGCCGCAGGUUCGAUUCCUGCCAGGCGCGCCA